GAUUUGAUAGCAUAGUUAUGGGCCAAGCCCAACUAUACGUCACGAAUACGAAAGCCAUUAAACAAACGUACGGUGUCGCAUAUGCUUUACUUUGAGGACAAAGCAUCAGAAACCACGUGUCCACCUGCACAUCACCCAAAUCCAUCUCGUAAAGUGCAGUGGCAUCCGAAAACCAGGGGCGUCAUGGGUGGUCUUCCAAAACCAGGCGUCGCUUCGAAGGAGUCCGCUGCCUUCUUAUAUUUGUUCGCCGGUGCAGCCGUAGUGGCCAGCGCAAGUAAUAGGCAGCAAGGCGACAAGGAACGGGAGAUGAUCGGGUCUCUGGAAGCUCUUGGUAUGGGGCUGGGUUGGAAAACCCUACCGCCCCGCCAUGUUUGUCUUACAUGGAGUGAGGUCUUUUCCAAUGCCUCCCAUGCCAAUGGUUUCCAGGGACCCCUCCCUUUCCCUCUCUGAGUCUUUUGAGGAUUGGUGUGACAUGUUAUGGUAAAGAAGGCGCCGGGAGGAGGGAGAGGAAGCACAGGGAUUCCUACAAGCUGUGGGGAUGGGGGCAUCGGCAUGCCCAUACCUGCUCUGGCUGAGAGAUGCAGGUUGAUGGUGCUUGCCGAUCCCUCCCAUGCCGAUGGUUUUUAGGAGCUCCUUUCUCUCCCUUGCCCCUCUUGUAAUGCUCUUACGUUACGGAUGCGACUUACAAGCUAAGCUGGCACACAAGUAUAGAGAGAUGUCACUUCACUCGAGCCACAUGAGGGAGUCCCUUCACCAAACCCUGUGAUGAAUCAUUUAAGCUUGGAGUCAUCAAAAUGAUGUUUCCAUGGCAAGCGAUAAAGAAACAUGAUUUGGUGGAACAUUAACAGCUCUGUUUCUAGAAGCAAUUUUAUUAGCAAUUUCUGAUCUUGUGCACAGGCCAUGGCGGAAUAUAUACAGGUAAACUAGCCAUGGUUGGAGACAACCAGCACCAAUAAACUAAGCAAGAGAGCAAGGGGAUGGAGAGACCUUCCUUCACCAUGUUGCUGCUGCUGCUCCUGCUAAUUUUAGCUGCUUCUGUUCAUGGGAUCCCAGUCAACCAUGCUAAUGGAGAUGAAAGAAGAAGGGUUUUAGGUGGAAGAGUCGGAGACCCACCUCCUUCUCCUUUGGCCAGUCCUUCAAGGCGUUACUUCCCACCCCAUGCAGAAUCGCCAUGCUAAUGUGUUGCUCAGUAUAUGUCUCUGUUCAUGUGCUCCUACUGAAGUGCUAUGUGAGGUGUUGUGGACUUAUUAUUAUGAGGAAGAUGAAGGCUGUCAACUUGUGGGAUGCAGGAUUUAGAUUACAACUUUACAUAUACCUUUCAUUAGCAAGAUGAUCAAGAUUUGAAAUCAUGAAAUCCAUAAUUAUUAUGUGAACAUCUUUGAUCAUAUGACAAUGUUCCUCAAUAUUAGAAUCUUAUGCAUAGAAAUAUCUCAUACAUCAUGUAGAACCUAAAGUUAUUUGGGUGUGUAUGGGAUAAAUAGAUACAGGAAGAGACAGAUAAAGUUCCUCAGAAGGAUUACAGAUCAUAACCUCUGCAUUCUCAACUCUGUUAGUAAUCUUAUUUCAAAGACUGAUUAGUUGUUGUAGUGGUAAACAAAGAAGAUGAUAAGGUUAGUGGGAGGGAGGGAGUUUUUCCUUGACGAAGGCUGGCGCUAUGUACUUUGAAUCCAUCUGCUAGUGUUUGUCAGAGUCCACUGAGCUCCCACAGAGCAUACGUAGUCACACAAGCACAGACCGACAGGGAUGAGACGUCUUCCCCUGUUGCGAGGUCAAGUAAACGAAGCCAUGACACUAACAAAAUCCUCUAGCAAGUAGUCUCAUCUUCUUCAUCAUCAAGAGGGAAAAGGAAGUGCACACUAAGAGACAUCGAGAGAGAGAGAACAGAGAACAGAGAAGCGAAGGUAGAUGGAUAUGUCGGACCAGGAAACUUGAUUCCCCGCAGUGCAACGUGACUCCCCCGUGAGAUCCGCUUGGAGAGGGCGCCUGCAAAGCUCUUUGGACUGCUUUGUUUGUUCUUGGCGGGCUUCCUCUGCUCAUGUGGCGUCGAGGUAGCUCAGCACGAGGAGGGAGGAUCGCCUCUUGCCGCUGCAUCUGCGUCCACCUCCUCCAGCAUCGCCGGACUUUGGCCAGAACACCUUCGCCUCCAUGAAGGGAAGAAGAAGAGUCUGGCAGCUGAAGUAAGACAACCAAGCAAAAGCUCAAGUUGACAAGCAACCUUAGAAGAGGAGGAGGAGGUCAGAAAGAAUAAAGGGAGUUAGGCAGGAGACCAUGUAAAGAAUAUAUACAUAUAUAUAGUGAAUGAGAGAGAGAGAGAGUUUAAAGGAGU